AUUAUAAAUUUUAUUUUCAAAUUACAAAUUUCAAAAUUUUUAGAAUUCAAAAUAUAAAAUUUAAAAUUUAAAAUUUAAAAUUUAAAAUUUUAAAUGUUUAGAUUUAUUCAGAUUUUAAAUUUAAAUUUAAAAUCUCAAAAUUUUAAGUUAUAUAUUUUAAUUUUAAAUUUCAAAUUUAGAUUUUAUAAUUUGAAAUUAAAAAUUUAUAUUUAUAUUUAAAAUUUCAAAAUUUAAAUUUUAAAUGUUAAAUUUCAAAUUUAUAUUUUAAAAUCUUAAAUUUUAUAUUAUUUUAAUAUAAGUUUCAGUGAAAAAAAAUUAUUAUUUGCCACCAAAAUUUUUUUUUUGACAAACAGUUUUCGGAAAAAAAAUUACUUUAGAAAAAUUUUACCUUUUAUUUAAACUCGGUAAAUGCUCUACAGUUUUUAAGCAAAACUAAUUUUUUUGAAUCAAAAUUAAUUUUGCAUAAAAAUCAUUUUUAAGAAUAUAGAGGUAAAACGGGGAGUAGGUCUUGUGUGCUAUUCGGUUUGUGCUCCUAAACCGUUUUCAAUGAUAAGACUUCUGAAUCGACGAUCGGCUCUAUUAAACUUGAUCUAACAUAUUUGAACUAUUUAGAAAAUAAAAUUUGCGCUUUUUCAAUAUCAUGUACCUAGUAAUAGAAAGAACUAAAAAUCAAUGAUUGAAAAUAAAACUCUCACAAAAACAAAUGAUACAACACUAAAAUUUUCGAUCAAGAUAUUGAUUUUAUUGUAAAUAGUAUAAAAAAUUUUCUAUCAAAAUUUAAUCUGAUUUGAAUACUUAUACACCGUUAAACUUGCAAAUGACAUACAUCAACCAUUAAAAAUUAUUGAUUUUGAAUUCUUUCGAUCACUAAGUAAAUGAUAUCGAAAAUCUAUAAAAAUUAUUUCUUAAAUAGUUCAAAUACAUUACGUCAAGUCUAACGAAGCGGAUCGUCGAUUCGAAAACUCUAUUAUCGAAAACGGCUUAAAAACACAAAGACCUUCGUUCUCCUAAUAGCACAUACAAAUACUACUCGUAAAACGGCUUCUAAACCAAGUGAUGUUGGUUCGGUUAAAUGCAUCCGAUAACUCGGUUUAUUAGUCGAAUGUCCGCCACUAGAGAUGUCAACGGGUUGGAUUCGGGGCGGAUUUUUAAAAACCCGAACCCGAACCCGACUCCAAACCCGAGACCCGAAUCCGAAUCCGAACCCGACGGAUUUUAAGAAUCCAUAUCCAAACCUGAACCCGACCAAAAACCCGAAAUCCGAACCUGAACCCGAACCCGAAAAUUUGUACCCAAAACAAUUAUUUCUUUUUUCAAUAUUUCAAAAUAUAUUAUAUUAAAUCAAAAUUUUUAAAAUACAAAUUCAAGUAUAACAUCAAAUUUUUAUAUAUAUAUUAUAUAUAACACAAAAUAAAUUCGGAUUCGGGUCGGAUUCGGGUACAAUCAAAAUCCAUAUUCGAAUCCAUAUCCGUCGGGUUUCUAUUUUUGAUAUCCAUAUCUGAAUCCAUAUCUAUGUCCAUAGGAUAUAUCCGUUUUAUUCAGGUUUGGAUUCGAAUAAAAUUUCGGAUAUCCAUAGCCAUGGACAUCUCUAUCCGCCACAAAAUUGAGAAUUC
rnacentral:lncRNA from 1 species